GACGAACGCUGGCGGCGUGCCUAAUACAUGCAAGUCGAACGCAGUGGGGACGGGUGAGUAACACGUGGGUAACCUCCCAUCAGAGGGGAUAACACUUGGAAACAGGUGCUAAACCGAUACUGAUGGAUGGACCCGCGGUGCAUUAGCUAGUUGGUGAGGUAACGGCUCACCAAGGCCACGAUGCAUAGCCGACCUGAAAGGGUGACCGGCCAAACGGGGACUGAGAAACGGCCCGGCCUCCUAGGGGAGGCAGCGGUAGGAAAGCUUCGGCAAUGGACGAAAGUCUGACCGAGCAACGCCGGGUGAGGGAAGAGGGUUUUCGGAUCGUAAAACUCUGUUGUUAGAGAAGCGGUAUCUAACCAGAAAGCCACGGCUAACUCCGUGCCAGCCGCCGCGGUAAUA
rnacentral:rRNA from 1 species